rnacentral:rRNA from 1 species
AACGUAGGAGACAAACGUUAUCCGGAGUUACUGGGCGUAAAGGGCGUGUAGGUGGUUUCGUAAGUCUGGCGUGAAAUAUCUCGGCUUAACCGAGGCAGGUCGUCGGAUACUGCGGAACUAGAGGACGGUAGAGGCGUGUGGAAUUCCGGGUGUAGUGGUGAAAUGCGUAGAGAUCCGGAGGAACACCAGUGGCGAAGGCGGCCUGCUGGGCAGUAGCUGACACUGAGGCGCGACAGCGUGGGGAGCAACAGG